rnacentral:rRNA from 1 species
GAGUUUGAUCAUGGCUCAGAUUGAACGCUGGCGGCAUGCCUUACACAUGCAAGUCGAACGGCAGCACGGGAGCUUGCUCCUGGUGGCGAGUGGCGAACGGGUGAGUAAUGCAUCGGAACGUAUCCUGGAGUGGGGGAUAACGUAGCGAAAGUUACGCUAAUACCGCAUAUUCUGUGAGCAGGAAAGCGGGGGACCUUCGGGCCUCGCGCUCUUGGAGCGGCCGAUGUCGGAUUAGCUAGUUGGUGAGGUAAAGGCUCACCAAGGCGACGAUACCGGUAGCGAGGUCUGAGAGGAUGAUCUGCCACACUGGAACUGAGACACGGUCCAGACUCCUACGGGAGGCAGCAGUGGGAAUUUUGGACAAUGGGGGCAACCCUGAUCCAGCCAUGCCGCGUGAGUGAAGAAGGCCUCGG